UUUUACAUUACAGCUAUUUUGUGAACCUUAUUUCUCAAGCACAAUACAGGUUUCCAGUUUAGUCUUUACUCUUCGCCAUGUUCUAUUCUUAAUGUAUCAAGGUAAGAUUUUGAUCGAAGUUCGCGAGAGAAUAAGCCCUUGAAGAACUCCUUAACCGUGAUUCUUUUAAACAUUGCCGGCGUUUCCUUGGUAAUCAAGCUCCGUGCUGG
rnacentral:misc_RNA from 1 species